GUAAUUUAGUGAUGGAGUGCUUGCUUACUAUGCCUUAGGCUAUCCAUUCAACUUCUAGCACCAUAAAUAAAGCAAGCAAGCAUAUAAGUAAGUGAAUACCAGUAAAACACAAAUUAAAGCAUAACAAAAUGUUCUUCAAAAAGGUUAAUAAAAUACCCACUAUCUUUCUUUUGAUUGUAUGGAGUACAUUAGAAUGUACUUGAAGCUCUAGCCAGAGCAAUUUGACAACAAAAAAAGAUCAUUUGGAAAAGAAGUCACAGUAUAAGUAUUUGCAGAUGUUAUGGUAGUAUAUAUAAGUAACCCAGAAAUUCUACCAAAGAGCUCCUACACCUGAUAUAAAUAACUUCACCAAAGAGCCUGGAUGUAAAGUUAAAUCAAACAAGUCAGUAGUCUCCCCUCACACAAGCGAUAAGCAGGCAGAGAAAGAAAUUAGGGAAAUAACACACUUUACAAUAGCCACAAAUAAUAUAAAUACCCAGAAGCAAAAGAUCUGUAAGACAAGAACUACAAAUACCUGAAGAAGAAGAGAAAAAAAAAUCAAAGAAGACCUCAGAAGACGAAAUGAACUUGCAUAGGAUUGGUAGGAUUAACACAGUGAAAAUGGCCAGUUUACUAAAAGCAAUCUAAUAUUCAAUGCAAUUCCCAUCAAAAAUCCCAACAAAAUUCUUCACAGACAUGAAAAGAGCAAUUCUGAACCUCAUAGGGAAAAAAAUGCCCAAGAUAGCCAAAACAAUUCUCAACAAUAAAGUUAUAAUUUCUAAGUGAGUUUAUUUUUUAAUCAUUAUCUGUUAGUUGCUAAAGUUUAUAUAAGUUGUGGGUAAUGAAUCUAUUAUUCAAACAAAAAAACCUAAAUACAUUGUUGGAAUUUGGAAAAUUAAAGUAAAAUUGAAGCCAGACAUUUUAUUCUGCAAAAUAAAAUUUUCCUCAGAUUUUGGAGAAUAUAAUUACAAGGCAAAUUUGCAUGAAGCUAAAUUUAAACAAAGUUUUCAUCUAUUGCCCUAUCAAGAGAAAUCAAUACACAGACUGAAGACACUGCCAAGCAUUUCCAAGGAAUGGCUUCCAGCUCCUUGACAACGACAUUCAUAUGCUGUAGACCUAACAAGAGGCUUUAAAAACAUUAUGUCUUAAGCUAGCAGGGGAAGACUUUACAAGUUUUCUAAAGUAAAUGUCCCAGGAGAUUGUACUGACAUUUGUGCAUCUCUCAUCAUACCACCAAGUUGGAUGUCUUUGGCCAUGAUCACUGGUAUAAAAAAUUCAAUUCAUAACACUUUUGUUAAUAUUUCUAAAAAAAUCAUUUUCCUUAUUAAUAGUUAUCAGGACCAUGAUAUGUUAACUGACAAUGGUUAUUAUGAGUUAUCUAGCCUUGUUGAGAGAGAAGGAAACUGAGGUGAAGUGAAUAUGGUUUAUUUUCAGUAUAUCUUUUCUUUAUAUAAAUUAGUGUUCUUUACCAGAUGCUAGCUCUGACUAUUGAACAUGCGACUAAAAGAGUUGCCAGCUGGCCUUUGAUGGAGGGGAUGCCAUUCUUCUACCAUCUACUGACUUUUAAGAAGAAAUGAAUCAAAAAUUAAAGCAUCUGUUGGUAUUCAAAUGACAACUCAUUUUGAUUGGUUGUGGUUUUGCUUAGUGGUUUCUGUCUGUUGCAAAGAGAACUUUUGAUGGGGAUGAAGAUUAUACUUACCUGUGUAUAAAAGGAUAUAAACACUUAUAACUCGCUUUUAGGGGUUGGGUUGGUUUAGUAAGGUGGUAGUUACAGAUUCGCCUUUUAUAACAAUGACUUUACUAGCACUGAAUGGUUAGCUAGAAUUGCAAUUCCAAAAGGAAACAGUGAAUACUAUGGCUAUACUCACCCUGGCAAACUUUAAGUAACAUUGAGAAACGGAAGAAUGAAUGAUUUUAACAGCCAGAGACCAGGGAGUUAGCUGUGAGAUGGGAUCUCCUAGUAAUGUCAGAAGCUGUAUCCAUAAAGCUACACCAAUCUGACUGUCAAAUGUGAGCUAAACCAAGACGACACCAGUGAACACGCCAAACUGGAUGCUGGAAAUCCCACAAGGCCCAAAACCUACAUAAGGAAUUAUAAGCAGUCAAGGAAAGUUGGGAUCAAAUGAGGUGAAAUUCUGUCAGGAAAAGUGCAGCAAUUAGUUGUCCAGUGACAAUCAUCCCUGAAAACAUACAUGCAAAUAACAUUAAGUGGAAUGAGCAGGUCACAUUUAAGAAUAUGUAUGUACAUAUAUGCAUGCAGUGAACUUUGUCUUUUUCCUUUUAAUGGCCAAAAAUUUGAAUAAGAGAAGGGAGGUUAUAUGGGGCAAGGAGAUGU
rnacentral:lncRNA from 1 species